AUUGAACGCUGGCGGCGUGCUUAACACAUGCAAGUCGAACGAUGAAGCCCAGCUUGCUGGGUGGAUUAGUGGCGAACGGGUGAGUAACACGUGAGUAACCUGCCCUGGACUCUGGGAUAACCCCGAGAAAUCGGAGCUAAUACCGGAUAGGACCUUUCCCCGCAUGGGGUUUGGUGGAAAGUUUUUCGGUUUGGGAUGGACUCGCGGCCUAUCAGCUUGUUGGUGAGGUAAUGGCUCACCAAGGCGUCGACGGGUAUCCGGCCUGAGAGGGUGGCCGGCCACACUGGGACUGAGACACGGCCCAGACUCCUACGGGAGGCAGCAGUGGGGAAUAUUGCACAAUGGGCGCAAGCCUGAUGCAGCAACGCCGCGUGCGGGAUGACGGCCUUCGGGUUGUAAACCGCUUUUAGUAAGGAAGAAGGGGCUUCGGCCUUGACGGUACUUGCAGAAAAAGGACCGGCUAACUACGUGCCAGCCGCCGCCGUAAUAC
rnacentral:rRNA from 1 species